rnacentral:rRNA from 1 species
GAUGAACGCUAGCGGCAGGCUUAACACAUGCAAGUCGAGGGGCAGCACGGGUAGCAAUACCUGGUGGCGACCGGCAAACGGGUGCGGAACACGUACGCAACAUACCUUUUACUGGGGCAUAGCCUUCUGAAAAGAAGAUUGACACCCCAUAAUAUCAAUGACUGGCAUCAGUUGAUGAUUAAAAAUUUAUUGGUAAGAGAUUGGCGUGCGUCCUAUUAGCUAGUUGGUAUGGGUAAUGGCCUACCAAGGCGACGAUAGGUAGCUGGUGUGAGAGCACGACCAGCCACACGGGCACUGAGACACGGGCCCGACUCCUACGGGAGGCAGCAGUGAGGAAUAUUGGUCAAUGGACGAGAGUCUGAACCAGCCAUGCCGCGUGAAGGAU